AGUGAACGCUGGCGGUAGGCCUAACACAUGCAAGUCGAACGGCAGCACAGUAAGAGCUUGCUCUUACGGGUGGCGAGUGGCGGACGGGUGAGGAAUACAUCGGAAUCUACUUUUUCGUGGGGGAUAACGUAGGGAAACUUACGCUAAUACCGCAUACGACCUACGGGUGAAAGCAGGGGAUCUUCGGACCUUGCGCGAUUGAAUGAGCCGAUGUCGGAUUAGCUAGUUGGCGGGGUAAAGGCCCACCAAGGCGACGAUCCGUAGCUGGUCUGAGAGGAUGAUCGGCAACACUGGAACUGAGACACGGUCCAGACUCCUACGGGGGGCAGCAGGGGGAAAUAUUGGACAAUGGGCGCAAGCCUGAUCCAGCCAUACCGCGGGGGUGAAGAAGGCCUUCGGGCGGUAAAGCCCUUUGUUGGGAAAGAAAAGCAGCAGGUUAAUACCCCGCUGUUCUGACGGUACCCAAAGAAUAAGCACCGGCUAACUUCGUG
rnacentral:rRNA from 1 species